rnacentral:misc_RNA from 1 species
CGCCGCAAACUACAGGAUGCAAGAGAAAGAAAUUACAUUCAACAACGAACCAGAGAUGGCACUUACACUUGUUUCAGGCAAUUACAGGAGAUGAUACAAGGCCCACAGGAUGCAAGAGGGGAAAGGAAAUUGCAUGCGACAACGAGCCAGAGAUGGCAAUUACACUUGUUUCAGGCAAUUACAAGAGAUGAUACAAGUGCUUUCUCAGCUUUCGAACAUCCUGGCAUGCUACAAUGCGGUCAUGUAGCAUAUAUUCACCUAGGGUAUAUAGGUUACAACGUGGCAAUGAGUAGGUCAGAAUAAGGGAGAAUCUAUGGUGGACAAUCAGUGGUUCAGUAGAGUUGUCAGAGCUAUGAAGUUGUAAUGGUUCCAGACGAUCUAUUCCUCUUGUGCUGCGGAGAUUGCCCUAGGCACAUCUUCAAACGCGAAGAUAGGCUGUCCCCCAUCUCCACCUUUUCGCGCUUAAUCUUCUUCCAUAGGGCUUGAAUCUUCUUCUGCUUAGCUUUCUCAAUCGGUUUCCUCUGGCUUUGCCUCUGGUUUUGUCUUACAGGCGUAGCCAAAGCCUUGACUGUCAAAUUCUAUGAUGCACGAACCAAUAACCAGAUCAGACAAUCUUUUUUCAUUGAUGAUAUCGAAGUGGUAAAUAUCACAUGUUAGAAAGAAGCC